rnacentral:rRNA from 1 species
GUGCCAGCAGCCCGCGGUAAUACGUAGGGUGCAAGCGUUAAUCGGAAUUACUGGGCGUAAAGCGUGCGCAGGCGGUGAUGUAAGACAGAGGUGAAAUCCCCGGGCUCAACCUGGGAACUGCAUUUGUGACUGCAAGGCUAGAGUGCGGCAGAGGGGGAUGGAAUUCCGCGUGUAGCAGUGAAAUGCGUAGAUAUGCGGAGGAACACCGAUGGCGAAGGCAGUCCCCUGGGCCUGUACUGACGCUCAUGCACGAAAGCAUGGGGAGCAAACAGG